rnacentral:lncRNA from 1 species
CUACCUUAAUAGCCUACUAUUUAUUGCCUUAUUCUCUUACACGUCUUAUCUCUAAUCCUUUACCAGUGUUUCCUGGAAUCCCCUCCCAAGUAAAUGGCUGGCCCUUCCACCCUUUUCUCAUGCUCUACUUCUGGCGGAAUCCAAGAUAAGUCUACCUCUGUCAAGAUUUUAUCAACAGAAGGAGACGUUGUAGUAGUUCUCCCUGUAAUCCGAGACUUGGCUUGGAUGCUUCUGGUAUACAGCCUCUACUGUGAGACCACUCCUCUGUCUCGAAUGAACAAGAUAGUUUCACAGGACUAAGCUGCAUGAAGAUGUAAAGAAACUGGAGAGAUGCACAUCCUGAACCUAUUAUAAAUCCCAAACUUCUGAACUGCAGAGAGAAUGGAGCAAGCAUAUAGUCCGUACUCCAGAAGCAGAAAUCAAUGUUUUAAGGGUUGAAACAAUUUCACUAACACAUGGAAAGGAUUUUUUCCAGAUACCCUGCAAAGAUUUGAAAAUAAAGAUUAAUAAUAGAAAUACA